rnacentral:misc_RNA from 1 species
GAUGAAGAACGUAUCGAAAUGCGAUACUUUGUGUGAAUUGCAGAAUCCCGUGAACCAUCGAGUGUUUGAACGCAAGUUGCGCCCGAAGCCAUUAGGCCGAGGGCACGCCUGCCUGGGCGUCACACGUCGUUGCCCCCCCAUCUACUCCUUCGGGAUUGCGGGGGGCGGAUGAUGGCCUCCCGUGCGCCUCGUCGCGCGGUUGGCAUAAAUGCCAAGUCCUCGGCGACGCACGCCACGACAAUCGGUGGUUGCGAAACCUCGGUUGCCCGUCGUGUGCGGUCGUCGCGCAUCGAGGGCUCGAAAAAAUUGCCGGGCUCCGGCUCGGCUUUCAACGCGACCCCAGGUCAGGCGGGGUUACCCGCUGAAUUUAAGCAUAUCAAUAAGCGGAGGA